CCCCGCCUGGAAGCGGCGGAAUAGCGAUGAGCGCGGGCUCCUCAGUCAGUUCUCCCUGGCGGGCCGGGGGCGUACGCCAUAGGUGCCGUUCGGGCCAUGGCAACGGAUUCCGAAUUGCCGAAGCAUGCGGACGAGGAUGGAAGAGCGGCGGAUCUGGCCGCGCUUCGUGCGGUCGCCGCCGGGGACCGCGAGGCUUUCGCCCGACUGAUCGACCGGGAGAGCCCGAAGCUCCUCCGCUUGGCAAUGGGCAUGUUGGGCAG
rnacentral:misc_RNA from 1 species